UACUCUCCUAGAUUUCAUUUCUAUAUUUUAUUUAGAUUUUGCUUGAUUUGGUGAACAAGAUAUGGAGUAGGAAAGAUUAUAAGUAAGGUUCAUAAGAUCACAAGAUCAUUUCAUAUCUUCACAACUUCACCCCACUCCUUCAUACUCUCUCCUUCCCUCUCGGCUCACCCUUAUGCCGCCACCAUCACCACCUUGUCACCACCAUAUUCAUCCAAUUCCAAGUUCAUUCAAGUGUUAGAAGGUGAUUCUUGGAGCUUGAAGCUUGUGUAUCAUCAAGGAGCUCUCUUACUUGCUUUUACACACCAUUUUCAUAAUCUUUUUUCACAAGUGUUCUUCCCUAGCUUAAAGCUAGUAGUUGUCGUGUAGCUGACAGAGCUUGAGUUACGAGCAUGAGACGCACUACAGGAAUUAAUCGGAUCUGGCAAGUGAUGCAUGUUAGUCAAGCUGCGUACUAAAUAAAAGAUGUUAUCUAUGGGCGUCGAGUUUAAGGGGUGUAUCUCAAUCCUGGACGGGAUACACGCCUCUAAACUCAUGUUUUUAUUUAAGUACUUUUGUUGAGUCUUUAUGAACUCAGUUGAACAUGUCAU